GUUUGUUUCUCCCCUCCACCCGAUCACCUGAUUUUCCCGUAACUACAAAACCCCAAACAAUAAGUGAAUGAUGGAAUGUGAUUCAACAAGCGUUUGUUGUUCUCGAAUACUUUAGUCGAAGUAGGAUGAAGGUUUCAAAUGGGUAGCCCUGCUGUGGAAUCACGAUUGAGGCUCUACUAUAGGACCGUCGGGCCUUAAUUGGCACCCCAUUUACGGAUGGCAAUCCGGAAGACUAUUUGUUUGAUAACGGUGGCUGGUAUCGGACUACCCUGACGUUGGCACUGGCCUUGUAAAUAGUGGAGUGGAUUUUUAUCUGAAUUAAAGUGAAUGUUAGCUUAUGAAUGUUUAAGAACGACUUUUUACAUUUAUUUGUAAACUUCAUAUUUCAGAUUUAUGUUCUCAUUACUGUUCUUA